rnacentral:rRNA from 1 species
AGAAUCAACGCUGGCGGCGUGCCUAACACAUGCAAGUCGAACGAGAAAGUGGAGCAAUCCAUGAGUAAAGUGGCGUACGGGUGAGUAACACGUGACUAACCUACCCUCGAGUGGGGAAUAACCUCGGGAAACCGGGGCUAAUACCGCAUAAUAUCUUCGGAUCAAAUGCGUAAGCAGCUUGAGGAGGGGGUCGCGGCCGAUUAGCUAGUUGGCGGGGUAAUGGCCCACCAAGGCAAUGAUCGGUAGCCGGCCUGAGAGGGCGCACGGCCACACUGGAACUGAAACACGGUCCAGACUCCUACGGGAGGCAGCAGUGGGGAAUUUUGCGCAAUGGGGGAAACCCUGACGCAGCAACGCCGCGUGGAGGAUGAAGCCCCUUGGGGUGUAAACUCCUUUCGAUCGGGACGAUUAUGACGGUACCGGAUGAAGAGCACCGGCUAACUCUGCGCCAGCAGCCGC